AAAAAAAAAGACUUUUAUUGGCAUUAGGGAAAAAAUUGAAGCAAUACUAAUCUUCCUCCAAACCCCUAAAGAAGAAAACUAAAAACGUUUUGAUCUAUCGAUUUGGCCAUAUGAAUCUAAAUAUAUUCCAAAUUCCACAAGGAGCAAAAAGUUAUGUAGUAAAAUGAUUAUGUGAUCUCAAAUUCUCAACUGGAUUUAUUUGCUGCAUAGAUUUACAACACAGAGAUAGGAGAGAAGAAAAAUACAAAAUUGCUGCAAUUUCUCUACUGGAUAUAUGGAGAAAAUACAUAAAAAAUCAUUUAGCUCAUAUACCAAUAAAAAUAAAAUAUAAAAAAAGAUCAUCAAUGGAUGAGAUAGGUAAUCGCCAGAGCAAGUACAAGGAGAAUGUAAGCAAUUCCUUGAUCAAUGGCAGAACCAUCGUUGGACGGAAGUGGUGCAGGCGAUGAACCCAUGCUUUGACCGUAACUGAGCUGCGAAAGUGCCAAGAACAAGAACCCUAUGGCUGAAACUACAUGCAACUUCCUCAUCUUCGAAUCAAAAUACUACGAUUAAUCAACGAGAAAUUCUGUUUUUUUUUUUCACCGGAAAAAUAAAAAAGAGCAGUCGAAGAGAAGAAGGAUGUUUGUGAAUGUGAAUUCGCGAGAGGAAUUUAAUGGUAUUUAUAUUGGGAGAGCGUUUAUUGUGGGUUAGGUUUAGGUCUGCAAUUUCCGGGAAAAGAAAAUUGAAAGGUCUAGAAACUGAUGCACGCGUCGUCGUAGAUGCGAGAAUUUUUGACUCAGUUGGCGGCUUACGUAAAACCAUAAAAG
rnacentral:lncRNA from 1 species